rnacentral:rRNA from 1 species
CCUACGGGAGGCAGCAGUGAGGAAUAUUGGUCAAUGGCCGAGAGGCUGAACCAGCCAAGUCGCGUGAGGGAAGAAUGUCCUAUGGAUUGUAAACCUCUUUUGUCAGGGAGCAAAGUCACCCACGUGUGGGUGUUGGAGAGUACCUGAAGAAAAAGCAUCGGCUAACUCCGUGCCAGCAGCCGCGGUAAUACGUAGGUGGCAAGCGUUAUCCGGAUUUAUUGGGUGUAAAGGGCGUGUAGGCGGGAAAGCAAGUCAGAUGUGAAAACUCAGGGCUCAACCCUGAGCCUGCAUUUGAAACUGUUUUUCUUGAGUGCUGGAGAGGCAAUCGGAAUUCCGGGUGUAGCGGUGAAAUGCGUAGAUAUACGGAGGAACACCAGUGGCGAAGGCGGAUUGCUGGACAGUAACUGACGCUGAGGCGCGAAAGCGUGGGGAGCAAACAGGAUUAGAUACCCGAGUAGUC